rnacentral:rRNA from 1 species
AGAAUCUUUCGCAAUGCCCGAAAGGGUGACGAAGCGACGCCGCGUGUGGGAAGAAGGCCUUCGGGUUGUAAACCACUGUCGGGAGUUAAGAAAUGUAAGGAUGUUAAUAGCGUCCUUACUUGACUAAGGCUCCGGAGGAAGCCACGGCUAACUCUGUGCCAGCAGCCGCGGUAAUACAGAGGCGGCAAGCGUUGUUCGGAAUUAUUGGGCGUAAAGAGCACGUAGGCGGCCCUGAAAGUCAGUUGUGAAAGCCUUCUGCUUAACGGAAGAACAGCAUCUGAUACUACAGGGCUUGAGUGCGGGAGGGGAGAGUGGAACUUCUGGUGGAGCGGUGAAAUGCGUAGAUAUCAGAAGGAACGCCGGCGGCGAAAGCGGCUCUCUGGCCCGUAACUGACGCUGAGUGUGCGAAAGCUAGGGGAUCAAACGGGAUUAGAUACCCCGGUAGUCCUAGCCGUAAACGAUGGGCACUAAGUAGAGGGGUUUUGAUUAUCUCUCUGCCGGAGCUAACGCAUUAAGUGCCCCGCCUGGGAGGUACGGCCGCAAGGCUAAAACUCAAAAGAAUUGACGGGGGCUCGCACAAGCGGUGGAGCAUGUGGCUUAAUUCGAUGCAACGCGAAGAACCUUACCGGGGUUUGACAUGGUAGAAGUAGGAACCAGAAAUGGUAACGAACGGUAUCCAGUCCGUAACUAUCACAGGUGUUGCAUGGCUG